UACGUAGGGUGCAAGCGUUUGUCCGGAAUUAUUGGGCGUAAAAGAGCUCGUAGGCGGUCUGUUGCGUCGGCUGUGAAAACCCGGGGGCUCAACCCCGGGCCUGCAGCCGAUACGGGCAGACUAGAGUUCGGCAGGGGAGACUGGAAUUCCUGGUGUGCGGUGAAAUGCGCAGAUAUCAGGAGGAACACCGGUGGCGAAGGCGGGUCUCUGGGCCGAUACUGACGCUGAGGAGCGAAAGCGUGGGGAGCGAACAGG
rnacentral:rRNA from 1 species